GAUCUGAUUUGAUUUGUAUUUUCUAACAGUUUGAAUUGAGGUGUGUUCCGCCUCCUCAUUAAUUCACAUAGAAGUAGCCCAUUCCAGCAUUGCAGACAAUUUAUGUUUGAGGCUUUACUGAGCCGGACAAACUCUUCUCUUCGAGGAGAGCCCACGCACUUCACCAAUGUUUGCGCAGAUCAAAUAUGCAGACAUUUGUGCUGUCUUGCACGAAUUGGAACAUUUUCAGGCUGGCGCUCGCAUCGCCUUACUUUUUGUUUUCCUUACAAAUAACAACUUUGGACAUGUGUACUUUCCUAUCAAAGUAUGCCAACCUCACGUGUUGCAGUGUGAGUAGACUGGACUUAUCUGAGUGCUGACCUCUAUGCAUGAUAGGCUGGAUACAAGGAUGGAAGACAUGUCAGAAACUCAACUCAAUCAAGGCCAGCUGUCACCCAGCAAAUACAAAUACACUGCAUUGCAAAAAAAGGCACAUGACAGAUGCAAUGUUAAUUUCUUCCCAUGAGAACAGACAGACAGAGUACUUAACUGAUUAUUCCUAUUUUCAGACUGGAAUAAAGCUGGGGUCCUACCUGGUGUCAAACAUUAAGCCAUCAUGAAUGGUAGGGCUUUCCGCAUCAGUUGAGCUAUUCAUAAUUAAAGAUUAAGGAAGAACAGCUCUGAGAUCCCUAAACAAGAGAUGAUUAUCUGGCUGUAAAGACUUGAAGAUAGGCCUUAUUUGGAGCACUGUACCGCCUUUACCCAAAGUUAUUUUAUAGCAUAUGAAAUUGAUAUUUUGGUCAAUAAAUCAUCUUGAUUACUUUGAUUUCUACAAUUUGUGCUAUGGCUGUGCAUAAGUGUUAUAAAGUGAGUGAUUAGUAUUUAUAACUAAUAAAACAUGAAAACAACUCAUUCUAAAAUGUCUAGAAAUGUCUUAAGUCGGAUGUCUCAAGACAUUGGUAUUUCUAUGGACUGUCUUAAAGACGUCUUCAUUUUCUAAGACAAGUCGUAAGACAGGUCUCUAAAUGCCUCAAGACGUCUUAAUUUAUAUGUCUUUAGACAUCACAGGGAAGGAAUAUCAGGGGAAUCUCCAAAUCAACCUGGUCCCAGAGCAUUUCGUAUUAUUCUGUACGUAAAUCCGAGGCACACCAUUUAUUUAUGUUAUGUUAUAUGUUAUGCUUCGUAUGGUAUGUAUUCAUUUGUCAGUGUCUAUCACUCAUUUCGUAUGACAGGUUACAAAUUACUUUUCAUUUUAUGUUUUGAGUUUGCAAAACAUAGAAUAUGUUUCGAAUUAGCAAAACGUAUGAUAUUUUAUGAAUUCUAGCUAGGUGGCCAACGUUAGCUAGCUGGCUAACGUUAACUAGGCUAUGGGU